AGUGAACGCUGGCGGUAGGCCUAACACAUGCAAGUCGAACGGCAGCACAGUAAGAGCUUGCUCUUACGGGUGGCGAGUGGCGGACGGGUGAGGAAUACAUCGGAAUCUACUUUUUCGUGGGGGAUAACGUAGGGAAACUUACGCUAAUACCGCAUACGACCUACGGGUGAAAGCAGGGGAUCUUCGGACCUUGCGCGAUUGAAUGAGCCGAUGUCGGAUUAGCUAGUUGGCGGGGUAAAGGCCCACCAAGGCGACGAUCCGUAGCUGGUCUGAGAGGAUGAUCAGCCACACUGGAACUGAGAUACGGUCCAGACUCCUACGGGAGGCAGCAGUGGGGAAUAUUGGACAAUGGGCGCAAGCCUGAUCCAGCCAUACCGCGUGGGUGAAGAAGGCCUUCGGGUUGUAAAGCACUUUUGUUGGGAAAGAAAAGCAGCAGGUUAAUACCCCGCUGUUCUGACGGUACCCAAAGAAUAAGCACCGGCUAACUUCGUG
rnacentral:rRNA from 1 species